rnacentral:rRNA from 1 species
GAUGAACGCUGGCGGCGUGCCUAAUACAUGCCAGUCGAGCGAACAGACGAGGAGCUUGCUCCUCUGACGUUAGCGGCGGACGGGUGAGUAACACGUGGAUAACCUACCUAUAAGACUGGGAUAACUUCGGGAAACCGGAGCUAAUACCGGAUAAUAUAUUGAACCGCAUGGUUCAAUAGUGAAAGACGGUUUUGCUGUCACUUAUAGAUGGAUCCGCGCCGCAUUAGCUAGUUGGUAAGGUAACGGCUUACCAAGGCAACGAUGCGUAGCCGACCUGAGAGGGUGAUCGGCCACACUGGAACUGAGACACGGUCCAGACUCCUACGGGAGGCAGCAGUAGGUAAUCUUCCGCAAUGGGCGAAAGCCUGACGGAGCAACGCCGCGUGAGUGAUGAAGGUCUUCGGAUCGUAAAACUCUGUUAUUAGGGAAGAACAAAUGUGUAAGUAACUAUGCACGUCUUGACGGUACCUAAUCAGAAAGCCACGGCUAACUACGUG